CCGCCUCUUUGUAACAGGAAGGAGAAAACAAGUGGGAUGAAAUGACAAACUGCACCCUGAUGAGUAACUGUCACUCACCUCAAAAGAGGUUAACUCAACGAUGAGAGGGGACAGUGUUAGAGCUUGGGAUUGGAAGAAUAUUAAAUAGUGUUAAUACUCCCACAGGGCUGAGCUGCUCAGGCUGAGUCCGUCUCCCUUCAGCGUGCCUCCCUUGUCUCCGCGCAGGUAUUUGCCGUUCUUGCCACGGAUGGCGAGGCGGCCAUGUUCCAGGAGCUCCAGAGAGAAAUCCUCAGGGGCCUCGCCGUCUGAGCAUACCAGCCCAGCACUGUCCACGUACCAGAACCGGCCAUCCACACCUACAGGGUUAAAGGGAAAUCACCAGGCCCCGUUACUGAACAGCAGGGUGAAAAUGUCAUAGACCGAUCUGCUGGCGUCGAGUGUGUUGGAGUUCCUGUGAUGGCAGAUGAAGCCGUUCUCUCCUCUCAAGAUCAGCAUGGGUCGGUUGAUCAGUUUCAAAAUGAGCUGUUCAUCCUCACCUAAGAAAACGUGACAACACAUCAGAAGGAACACAAGAGAAGUCCAAGGCAGGGUCUGAGGGAGGAGGUACAUUAGUGAGAUAGACAGGUAGAAGAGGAAGGAGGAGGAGAAUGGGCUCUUACCUAUGGAAUCACUGACAGCAAGUAGCUGGCCAUUCUUCUUGGUGCAAAUGUAUUUUCCAUUGUUAGCUUUUAGUGCCACCUUGUGGCCAAGCCACUCCACUGAAAACAUAGUGUUCGCUGACCUGCAGUUGUGCACCAAAGAGAGAAAAUUAGACUUUACUCUCCUUUGAGUGCUCUUGGAAAUAUUGUGACGAUUGUAAACAUGCAAGACUAAGCAGACUGAAAUUUCUAUAAAAUCACAUUUGCCUUUGGGUGGUUGAGCUCAUGUACUCAAACCAGUGAUUUCUAAUGAUGUGCCAUCUGAUGCAUGCUACUGUGCAACUAUCCCUGUUAUUUUCAGUCUUUCAGAUUUUGUUGGCAGUCACCUCUAUUUUCAAUAGAUAUAUAAAUUCCAUGGCUGACUUGCAUUUUCAAUGACACAUUUUCUUGUAUAAAACGUUGUGACUAUUUGUGUUUAUAACUCUUGAACUCAGAGGUCAUAGUAGUAUAGAUGGUGAGAUAGUGAGGUAAGAGAAAGUCACUCCAUUUUAGCUGAGGACAUACUGUGAUGGUAUAUACUGUAUUUGCUUUUAAACCCAUAUCUGUGAUAUAAAAUAUAGCCUAGAACUGA